rnacentral:rRNA from 1 species
AUUGAACGCUGGCGGCAGGCCUAACACAUGCAAGUCGAGCGGAUGAAGGGAGCUUGCUCCUGGAUUCAGCGGCCGACGGGUGAGUAAUGACUAGGAAUCUGCCUGGUAGUGGGGGAUAACGUCCGUAAGCGGGCGCUAAUACCGUAUACGUCCUGAGGGAGAAAGUGGGGGAUCUUCGGACAUCACGCUAUUAGAUGAGACUAGGUCGGAUUAGCUAGUUGGUGGGGUAAAGGCCUACCAAGGCGACGAUCCGUAACUGGUCUGAGAGGAUGAUCAGUCACACUGGAACUGAGACACGGUCCAGACUCCUACGGGAGGCAGCAGUGGGGAAUAUUGGACAAUGGGCGAAAGCCUGAUCCAGCCAUGCCGCGUGUGUGAAGAAGGUCUUCGGAUUGUAAAGCACUUUUAUUUGGGAAGAAGAGCAGUAAGUUAAUACCUGGCUGUUUUGACGGUACCAACAGAAUAAGCACCGGCUAACUUCGUG